CUCUUGACUAAGUAUAAGAGGUAUAGCCUGCCCAGUGACUCUGUUCAACGGCCGCGGUAUCCUAACCGUGCGAAGGUAGCGUAAUCACUUGUUCUUUAAAUGAGGACUAGUAUGAAUGGCACCACGAGGGUUAUACUGUCUCCUUUUUCUAAUCAGUUAAACUAAUCUCCCCGUGAAGAAGCGGGGAUAAAACUAU
rnacentral:rRNA from 1 species